UACGUAGGGUGCGAGCGUUACUCGGAAUUACUGGGCGUAAAGCGUGCGUAGGUGGUUUGUUAAGUCCGAUGUGAAAGCCCUGGGCUCAACCUGGGAAUGGCAUUGGAUACUGGCAGGCUAGAGUGCGGUAGAGGGCAGUGGAAUUCCCGGUGUAGCAGUGAAAUGCGUAGAGAUCGGGAGGAACAUCUGUGGCGAAGGCGACUGCCUGGACCAGCACUGACACUGAGGCACGAAAGCGUGGGGAGCAAACAGG
rnacentral:rRNA from 1 species